rnacentral:rRNA from 1 species
GACGAACGCUGGCGGCGUGCUUAACACAUGCAAGUCGAACGAUGAAACCUAGCUUGCUAGGUCGAUUAGUGGCGAACGGGUGAGUAACACGUGACUAACCUGCCCCUUUCUCUGGGAUAACGCUCCGAAAGGAGUGCUAAUACCGGAUACUCACACCGAGGCACAUGCCUUGGUGUGGAAAGUUUUUCGGAAAGGGAUGGAGUCGCGGCCUAUCAGCUUGUUGGUGAGGUAAGGGCUCACCACGGCGACGACGGGUAGCCGGCCUGAGAGGGGGACCGGCCACACUGGGACUGAGAGACGGCCCAGACUCCUACGGGAGGCAGCAGUGGGGAAUAUUGGACAAUGGGCGCAAGCCUGAUGCAGCGACGCCGCGUGAGGGAUGAAGGUCUUCGGAUGGUAAACCUCUUUCAGUAGGGACGAAGCGAAAGUGACGGUACCUAAAGAAGAAGCACCGGCUAACUACGUGCCAGCCGCCGCGGUAA